rnacentral:lncRNA from 1 species
AUGGGUUAACAGAGUCUGCCAGCCAAUUUUCGUUCGUUCGUUCGUUGGAUCGUCCAAGUCAAUAUGGGGUUAAAUAUGUCAGAAGUUGGGAUUCGUUAUUGUGUCUAGUAAUCCACCUAUAAUUUUUGCCUUUCUUGUUUAGAAGUUCUCGGUUUGGGGUUCGUCCGUGAUAUGCAACGAGGAGUGCUGCUACUUGGUGUGCUUAGAUGUAUAUACAUCAUCAUCUUGUAUAUCAUUUGUGGACAUAAUGGAUAUUAUAUUAGCCUGCUGGGGAGUUCUUUAGUUAAUUAACUGCAUUUCCUCUGAAGUUGUCACACCGCUGCUUUGUUUAAUCCUCUUAUUAUUAAGUUGAUUUUGUUAUUGCCGAUUGUCAAUAUGGCUGAAUUGGGCAUGUGAUCUUUUGUGUUAUUUCGAAGCAAGAUAUUAUGAGAGAGGUUGCAAAUAUCCCAAUGACAGUCAGGCUUCUAGUAGUAGUAGUAUUUGUUAAUGUGGAAUGUCACUAACUAGCACUGCAGGAUGGAAGCUCUCGUCUGAUGAAGCACAGUGGUUUCCUGUGUUCUUCACGGGGAGCCAGGCUGCUGCAUUUAUUUAUGUUUGUAUGUAUUUAUGUAUUUAUGUAUGAGCAGACGUAAAUGCUGGCUCUUGUGGUCAUGUAGGUAGCUGCACGGGAGAUAACCAUGAUUAUCUAUGUGUGCUGUAGCUUUUGGUUAUCUCGGAUUAUGUGAUGGUGUUUCAGACGUUUUAUUAGUGACUUUGUUGCUCAACUUUGGGCACUGAAUUUACUGAAAAUUGGUCAUGUAUUUUUUGCUAAAUAGGCAGCAGCUGCUGUUGUUACAAUCUGGGAGCAUGCUGGUGCUGUGCUGAUGAGCAGCUAGUUAAAAAAUUGCGUAAUUGAGAAGCUGAUGAGAUUUGACGAAAUGUCGGUCCAUGACCGUGCGUGUUAAUUACCUUGUGUCAGGCUGCGUUGUGCGCUUUAGUACUGAGGCAGGCAGGCAGGCGGACCAGCUGCUUGUGCAGGUCAGGUAACGUAACAUGUCUUGUCUCUAGGCCAUGCUUCUUGAUGAUAUGCUGUAUUAAGCUACCUGAGCUGUGCAAGACAGCCUCAUGUCUCUUGUGUCCCUGAAAUGAAAUUUUAUAUAUCCUGUCUAGUUAUUUGUUUUAUGAUCCAUGUAUGUGACCUGUGAGCCACCAUGGCUGUCAAAGAUCCUUGUGUCUGGGCCAGGCCUGGUGAUGCUGUGUUGAGAUACCUAAGCUGUGCAAAACUAAAUUUCUCCUGUUUACUGCAUAUGUUCGUAUGAUUCACUCACAGCCAGCAUGGUUCUCAAAGCACUAGCAUAUGUGCAUUAGUGCUUGGUAGCUGCUUUCUGCACUGUGUUGGGCAAAGGGCGCCUGCAUAUGUGCAUUACUAGUUACUUACCGGGACUGCUGCAUUGCAUUGCAUUUUUGCAUACCCUAUCCAUCCGUCCUGCACUUUCUGUUGAAAUGUAGACAUUCAUAGUUCCAUAUAAAUAUUGGAAUGUGCGGUGAGUGUGGUCUCAGCUGAAUUGUGUGUUUUCUUCCAGGAGGCGGCCAAAGAAGCACCACCACCUCGACCUCAACAUCCUCAGGGGACACACCGACUGCGUCACUGUGCUUGACUUCUCCAGCGACGCCUGCAACCUAACCACCGGUGAGCCUACCCUCAGCCUCCCAUUCGAUCAGGAUCUAUCAUGCUUACGCACAGAAACGUUUUAAUUUCCCCUCCUAUGGGCUAUUUAUUUGCUAGUUUUACAACGUGGGCAGUGUAUAAAAUUCUGGAAAUAAUCAUGUGUACAGAUUGCUGCAUGCAUGACCUCAUAAUCAGGUACUAGCUCCGUACAUAAUAUAAUAGCGUAUUCGAUUUUAUACUAGAGUACAUUACAUGUGAAUUGAGGUGUAGAUUAAACGUGACCUGGUUUUUCUAAGUAGAUGUGUAUUACAGUAUUAGGGUUUGCUUACGUAGUGGAGGCCCUUGUCUGAAGGGCUCAUCCUCCUUUAGCUCUUAGCUGGAGUAGUAGUAAGAACCUGCUUAAUUAGCUUGAGAUUAACCAUGUCAAACCUUAGUCACCCAAAGUUUAACCAACAAAAUAAGAGAGAGAAAUGAACAUUGCAAGCAUAAUUCAAUAGUACCACCUGAUCUAAAACAUCUUAUAUUAGCUUACAGAUCUUAUAUUAGUUUACAGAGUGAGUACUUCACAAGAAUCGAUAUGAGAUGCAUGCGUGUAGUAGGGGAUGAACAUGCAUGUAUGAUUCCAAAAAACGUGUGAUGUGAAAAAUACAUGAUUGUGGUGACAAAUAUGCAAGCCACGAUACGUUAGUGAUUAGCUCCAGACGGGUGUUCUAUUGCACCGUAUUUUCUUGCUGAGGAGACCCAUAGUAAAAAUAGAAAAUAUAUAGGAACAAAUAAGAAAAAUUUCCCAAGAAGACGUAUUCAACUAAAUACUGAUUUCUAACUUUAGGAGGACUAGGUACUCUCGGUCAAUAUGUUUCCUAUGAAUUUCAUUCGAAUUCCAUUUCUGUCCCGUGAUGGUUCAUCAAGAAUUGUUGAACAAAUAUAGUCCCCUUAGUGUUGGGCAUGCUAUUGUAGGUUCUUGUUUUUUGCUGCAUCAGUGAUCAGUCCAUGGUCUGAUGCUGAAUCCUUUGAUUGUUCUUGAUCCAUGAUCUGCCUUAUGGUUGUGUCAGUCUCUCUUUUACUCUUUUGCUAAGUUGUAGUGCAUCCAGAUGUUAGCAUUGUGGUGCUAGUUUGCUGGGUUUUGUUUCCGACCAUCGUGUCGUGAUGAUUUUGCAGGUACCCCGUGAGGCCCUUGAGUUUGCCGGAAUGUCGAUUAACUUCCGUUCCGGCAAAUUCGGGUACUCCAUAUGUCCUAUUUUCAGCAAAGGUCAUGCUGAAAUUUUCCGUGAAUUUUAGCAUGACUUUGCUAAAAAUAGGACAUAUGGGGUACUUGCGACUAAUGCAUGGGCUGGGGUAUCUUAGUACUUAAUUAAGUAGGAUCAAUUGCCCCUUUAUUCUUGCUGCAUUAAACCAUAGGUGGCAAUAGAGCCAAGUGAUUAGGCCCAACUUAGAAUUCUCCUUCCCUUUUCUUGAUAGGGUAUAUUAUUAGAAGAUACCCAUAUAUAUGAGUCAACCUAGGGUGCCUCAACAUUGAUUAACCUUAAAUGAUGAAAACUUAACUUAGCAUUUAGGGUGUCUCAGCAUCCACAAACCCUAAAUUAUAAAACCUUGGCUUUUAGGGUGUCUCGGUGUCAAUAAAAACCUAAAUGAUGAAACCUUAGGCUUUUAGGGUGCCUCGGCGUCGACAAUCCCUAAAUGAUAAAAGCUUAGCUUUUAGGAUGCCUCGAUGUCGACAAACCCUAAAUGAUGAGACCAUGAUCUUGUUCCUUGACAAUAACCAACUUUUUGACCAAACUUUUUUCCUAUUUAGAGCGAAACAUGGCCCACAACGAUGAGGCCGGCGGUUCGGGCAAGCCAUUCUGGGAGUUGUCCCAGGAGAUGGAGGAAGAACCUCACCGCUAUGAGGACGCCGCGGAAGACACCGAUCCCGAGUACACAACCACUAGUGGCGUCGGGGAUGACACCACUGAUGGUGCCGCCGAGGAUGCCACCACUAAUGAUGGCAGCGCACGCACAAAUGGCAGCCAAUCGAAGAGGCAAUGGAAGGACCGGCGCCCGAGCGUGCUCAGCACCGUAAAGGAGGAAUUUACUGAAAUGAACUCCGACGGGUAUCCAACGGCGCCCAAAGAAAUAGUCAAGGGGUACGCGGUUCAGNNNNNNNNNNNNNNNNNNNCGGUUCAGCUCGGGUGCAUUCUCCGGAGCACUGUCUCGAUCAACACCGAGAACCUAAGGCAUAAGGACCGAGGGAAUUUGCGCAACCUCCUCUUCACGAAGCUGCACGAACGAUACAAGUUCCCCGGUGACGUCGCAAACACACGCCUCUCAAGGAAUAAAGUGAAUAGUGCCGCCCUCACGAAGAUGAGCAAGGCCCUGUCUACUUGGAGAAGCGUGGUGAAGAGAAUGAUUGACCAAGGUGAUAGUUAUGAGAAGAUCAAGGCGAAAAAUCCUUCGAUCAACGAAGAUGACUACAAGGAGUUCAAGAUCAAGUGCGAGAGCAAGGCAACCGCGGAACCAAGGCAAUGGGGGAAAGAAAUGCGGGAGUUGAACUUAGGGGUCCACCAACUCGGUCCCGACGGUUGCAGAGUGGCGGAACCUAUAUGGGGCAAGGAGGACGCGGAGCGUGCCGAGCAAGGCCUACCACCCCGCUUCGAGAAAUACGGUGGCAAGCAGACCAGGAACUAUGUCAGGGCCCGGUACAAGGUGGACCCAGUAACAAAGGAGCUUACCACGGAUGCGAAGACCAGGGCGCUUGAGCGUGUUCUGGUAAGGAAUACACCCCACGUAAUUAGAUCCAUAUGGUUGCAUUCUAAUUAAUGAAGCCAAAUUUCUAAAUUGUUCAUUCCUUCCGCAGGACACUGAAAGCAGUAGCGCGGGGUCGUCUCAGAGCUCCAAUUGGGACACCAAUUUAAAUAGGGCGUUUAACAUAAUGAAAAACAAGGAUAAGUCCAGUAAGCCGUCGUCAACUGGUCGUGUGGCCGGCAAAGGCUUGUCCACGAAAUGGUCGUCAUACUAUAACGCUGGUGUGCGAAAGGAGAGAAAUACCAACUUGGAAAGCCAGUCGCGCGAGGUUCAAGAACUCAAGGAAAAAGUGGCACGGAUUCCGGAGAUGGUCCAAGAGCUAGUGCAACACCAAGUGGGAGGGGUGAUCACCACCAUUGUGCCUACCUUGAUUGAGGGGCUGCAGGCGUGGAUUGCGGGCGGCCAACAGGGGCCGCCCCCGAUUCCUAGCUUCACGGCCAGCAACUCGCACAACGCGCAGGCGACGCCAUUGGAGUCUCCGGCGCCGGCCAGCACCUCGGCAGCAAUCGCCCCCUCCAUCACUUGCACGCCCGCCGUUGGCGGUGCCUCGACAUUAGCCGAGCUCGACACCAUCAUGGUAACUAAGCCUCUCUCGGCCGAUGACUUCAUCUCCUUGCCUUUGACUGGGCAUCCCCUGACGCCCUACAUGUUUUCGCAGGGCGCCGGCGCCGACGUCCCAUGCACUCUCCUGCACUUCAUGGGUGGCGAGUUGAUCGAUGUCGCCAAGGGCAGAAUCGUUCAACCAGGCAACCCCAUGUUCCACGGUAAACCGAUGCCACCCACCAUGUAUAGGGUUAAACUGGUUCGGGUGCUGCCAGGUUGCGACGACUUGUUACCUCCGUUCCACCCCGCUGGGGCCGACAAAGAUGAUGUGAUGACCCUCAGCGCCUGCUUAAGCUGGCCCUUGCUUUGGCCGAAGAGCCAGAUUCAUUUGGGGGCGGGGGACACCACCCCACAGACAACACCGCGAGUCGUGCCGGCGCCAAGCCAUGGCAAGACCGCCGCAACGCUACCGGACAUGCAUAUGGCACAGGAUUCGGACAUGCAUAUGGCACAGGAUCCGGACGACGACGAUGGUACAUUUACCAAGGUCGAUAAGUACUUUGCCGAACAUGGGUACGGUGAGGAGUUCUUGGGGCCUCCUUCUCAAGAACCCAACCCUGCAAAAGACGACCGCGAUCUAGCUGGUACCGCGGAGAAACCCAAUUGCAACAGGCGUUGUCUGGCGUUUAGUUUUGAGGAGACGCCUCCAGCUGCCACCUUCACCGAGCCUCAGAUAGCCGAGGUGCGAAAUAUUAUCAGCCCCAACACACUCAAGAAGGUGGUCUCUGAGAAGAUGAACUCGAUCCCAUUACAUCAACAGAAGAAGGAACGGAAAAGAAAGACUAACAAGGGUGCGAGCCAGCCGGCACUGAGUACGAUCCGUGCUCUGGACGGGCCAGCUUCACCUAAGGAUAUCUCGAGGAGGGUGCAUGUGGCGGGUAGGCCGAUGCUACCGACUAAUCUGCUCAAUGCUGCAACCGGUGCUAUGCGGAGUCUGCAUGACAGUGUUCUUUGUUUGGAGAAGCGGCGUCUCUCCGAGAAUAAUGUGGCAUACCCGGUUUUCGUGGCCAGGGUGCCAGAGGGCAAGGGCUUUGUCGAUAGCGCCAUCGGGGGUAUGAUCGUCCUGCGGUUUGCUGACAUCUUCGCUAUGUUUAACCUUCAUCCGCUGCACUACACCUUCGUUCGGCUAUUUUCGCUGAGUAUGGAGAUGUGGAUCAUUAGAGACAAGACCCCGGACCUAGUGAUAGUCGACCCCUUCUAUAUGCGUGCCAAGAUCUUGGACAGCGCUGGGGACCGGCAAGUCGCGAGUUCAUACCUCGAAGGCAUCAUUCUGGCAAACUCAGAAAAGGAUAACUUCCUCGUGCCUUACUUACCCUAGUAAGUUAUCCCGUCAUCGCCCCGUAACAUAUGAUUUCUUAGAUUUUGAUCAUCCUUUUUUUCUAACAUUCCGUGUUUUGUGCAGUGACACACGUUGCACACUCAUCCUCUUAAGCCUGAAAUAUUCCACGACCACGUAUUUCGACUCGGACCGUCAGUCAAAAAAAGACUACACAAAUAUCAAGAAAGUUCUUGAUGAAGCUCUUCCCGGCUACGCCAUAUCUGGAGGCUCCUUCAGCACGACAAGUCUCAGGCACGGCAAGCACGUGUUCAUCUACAAUACGACGUUCGCCUGCGUCAAGCAGCUGCCUGCCAGUCAGAAGGAUGCCUACUACGCCCUCCAUCACAUGCGGGCGAUCAUACGGGACAAUAAUCACCUUCGGCUACCAAAUAAUCUCAAAGAUUGGUCCGCACGCUUGUCGGCAAUCCAGGAUGCGGACAUCAGACAAGAAUUCUUUCGCAUCCAGUCGGAGUUUGCGGAAAUCAUCCAUCAAGAUGUCCUUCGUACCUCGGGACAGUUCUACCUCAGAUCUCCGCUGUCCAAUAGUGAGAUAGAUACAAUGCUACAAAUGCAGGCUGACAACGACCGCAAUUUCAUGACCAUCACGAAAGACGGCGGCUUCAUCCACGUUCCCGUGAAUCGGUACUAAUUCAUUUUGCAAUAUUAAACUUUAAUGAACUUGUAUGUCUCUUUGGUUUGCACAGUUGUUCAACUUAUAUAUAAUCGAUGCUAUUUAUUAGUAGGACCAUGAAUCGUGCUGUUAUAGUUGUAAUAUUAAACUUUAAUGAACUUGUAUGUCUUUGUGAAUUGGUACUAACGUUUUGUUUGGCUAGUGCAUAGAGAUGCCGUCGUAUGUCGUGUACAAGGGUAAGGUUCCUGGAGUCUACGACGACUGGGAGGAGUGUCGGAGACAGGUUCAUCGAUUCAGCGGUAACAGUUACAAAGGGUACACCACAAGGGCGGAGGCGGAAGUUAGAUACGCGCGCUAUCUAGCGGGAGAGAGGAGGGAGCGUUGGAGGAACCGGAUGAAGACCAGUUUCAUUACGAUUAUGCUCAUCGUGAUGACCGCAACUGUCUUCUAUGUCAUGGUAGUCUAGAUGGUCGACAUCGACUUGUAAUGUGAAGACAAACUCGCUACUCGCGGUCUCAAGACUUGUAAUGUUCUAACUUUGUUCGGUAUUUUAAAUUCGGAGACUAAUAUGAUGAAUUGUAUUCGGAGACAAAUCUUCUAUUGUAUUCGAUAAAUCUGUUGUUUAUAUGUUGUGCUAUCUAUAUUGUGUGCAAUAAUAUAUUUUGUAAUCUGUGCAAAUAUCAGAAAAAAUAAAAUAAAUACCUAAUAUUCAUACUAGUGGCGCAUCACUCAGCACACUAGUGCGCCAUUAGUAAGCCAGAGCAUAUGGGUAAAUAUGGCCCUGGGAGGCAUACUAAUGGCGCACCAUAAGCUAUACUAAUGGCGCACUAGUAUCUAUACUAAUGGCGCACCAGGAUCUAUACUAAUGGCGCACCGGGAUCUAUACUAAUGGCGCACUACUUGGUGCGCCAUUAGUAUACCAGAUACUAAUGGCGCACCGUGAGCAAUACUAAUGGCGCACUGCCUGGUGCGCCAUUAGUAUACCAGAUACUAAUGGCGCACUUGUGGUGCGCCAUUAGUAAAAAAAUCUAAUGGCGUGAUGCUAGUGGCGCACCUAUAGUGCGCCAUUAGUAGCCAAAAUAGGUGCGCCAUUAGCAAGCCUUUUCCUAGUAGUGUCAUAUUAAUCCCCCCUCCACCAUAACUCCCUCUCCAUUAGUUAGAUAUCUAGAUUCACCUCUCCUCCCCAACAACUAGAUCUAGCUAGCUAUUUAGCCAUCCACGUGAUGCGCCUCCGUCGAAUCUACUUUUUCGAACUCUUUUGCCCUUGUUUUGGACUCUAAUUUGCAAGAUUUGAAUGGAACUAACCCGGACUAACGUUGUUUUCAGCAGAAUUGCUAUGUUGUUGUUUUGUGCAGAAAUAAAAGUUCUCGAAAUGACCUGAAAAUUUACGGAGAAUUUUUCUGGAAUUAAUGAAAAAUACCUGCCCAAAGAUCCACCGGAGGAGGUGAACCAGUGGGCCACAGGCCCGGGAGGCGCGGCCACCCCCUGUGGCGAAAUCAUCGCCAUCAUCAUCAUCAACCUUCCUUCAUCGCCAGUUCCAUGAUGCUCUUCACCGUUCGCGAGUAAUCUCAGCGUAGGCUUGCUGGACGGUGAUGAGUUGGAUGAGAUCUAUCAUGUAAUCGAGUUAGUUUUGACGGGGAUUGAUCCCUAGUAUCCACUAUGUUCUGAGAUUGAUGUUGCUACUACUUUGCUAUGCUUAAUGCUUGUCACUAGGGCCCGAGUGCCAUGAUUUCAGAUCUGAACCUAUUAGAUUUUCAUCAAUAUCUGUGUGUUCUUGAUCCUACCUUGCAAGUUGUAGUCACCUACUAUGUGUUAUGACCCGGCAACCCCGGAGUGACAAUAGCCGGAACCACUCCCGGAGAUGACCAUAGUAUGAGGAGUUCAUGUAUUCACCAAGUGUUAAUGCGUUGGUCCGGUUCUUUAUUAAAAGGAGAACCUUAAUAUCCUGUUGUUUUCAUUAGGACUCCGCUGCCAUGGGAGGUGUGGAAAAUAGAUUUCAUGCAAGUUCUUUUCCCUAUUUCAUACGGAAUACAUGCCUACAUUAGAUUGACGAACGGGAGCUAGUUACAUAUCUCUCCGUCUUAUAACUAUUGCAUGAUGAAUCACAUCCGGCAUAAUCAUCCAUCACCGAUCCAAUGCCUACAAGUCUUUUACUACUGGUCCUUGCUACGUUACUCUGUCAGUACUGCUAUUAUUGUUGCUACUGCUGCUAUCAUACUACCUUGCUACUGAUACUUUGCUGCAUGUACUAAAUCUUUCAGGUGUGGUUGAAUUGACAACUCAACUGCUAAUACUUGAGAAUAUUCUUUCGCUUCCCCUUGAGUCGAAUCAAUAAAUUUGGGUUGAAUACUCUACCCUCGAAAACUGUUGCGAUCCCCUAUACUUGUCGUUUAUCAAGACAUUUUUCUGGCACCGUUACCGGGGAAGCACAACUAUAUUCUCUGAGUAACUUGGGAUUUUUGUCUAAUGGUCACUAUGAGGAAUCCGAUAGAUCCAAGAACUAAAGUCUUGCCCUCAACUACGAGGACAGGUAAGGAACUGCCAUCUAGCUGUGCACUUGAUUCACCUUCAGUUAUGAGUAAGUUUGCGACAUCACCUCCUCCUAGAAAUCUUGAUAUGUCGCCUGUGCUUGAUGAUGCUACUUCUGCUGCCCAUGAUUCUUAUGAUGGUGCUAUGCUUGAUACCGUUUUGCCUGAUGAUGCUAUGCUUGAUACUCCUUUGCCUGAUGACGCUAUGCUUGAUACUGCUUUGCCUGAUGAUGCUAUGCCUGAUACUGCUUUGCCACUAGGUGCAUUCCUUGAUGCACAAAUUGCUCGAAUUGCUGCUAGAUGUGAUGAUACUUCUGAAACUGCUGAUACUAUUGAAGUUGAACCUGCUAUUUUGCCAGCUAGAACUAGCUCUCCUAUGCCUCAUAUGCCUAAACUUUAUGUUAUGGAGGGAAAGAUAGCUGAGGAUUUUCUUGCUUGUAAGGAUAGCUAUGAUAUUGAGAAAUUACUUUGACCCGAAGUUUGCUACUUCGCCUAUCUUUGUGACCGAUAAGGAUUAUGAAUUAUCUGUCGACCCUGAGUUAAUCACCCUGGUCGACUCUGAUCCUUUUCACGGUUAUGAGUCUGAAACGGUUUCAUAGCAAAGACUCUUUGUGACUCUAGCUGAAAUUCUAUUGAAUAACAUCUUGUGGAAUGAGAAUGCCUGGACUAUUCCUGAACCACCUCCUAAGACAACUCCGAAGAAAAGAGGUAUUCUAUUCCUCAGUCCUGAAGAUAUGCAAGAAGCUAAGAAAUCUAUGCGAGAGAAAGGCAUUAAAUCUGAAGAUGUAAAAAAUCUACCACCUAUCGAAGACAUCUAUGGUCUUGAUAACCCGAUACGGGUAGUAGAAGUAAAUUCUCUGCGUAGGUUUGAUGAGAGUGAUAUUCCUUUUGAUAAACCUGCUAGCCUAUGCCUAGAUGAAUUUGAUAACUUUGUUGCCAAACAACAGAGUUUCAAUGAUUAUGUUAGCAGACAAUUGGAACAGAAUGCUCGUAUGCUUAGUCAUUUAAGUGCUUGUGUGGAUAGAAACGUCAAUGAUCUUAAGCUUCUGAGUAAGCAUGCCUCUAUGGUUACUACUCAGGUAGAACAAGUACUUAAGGCUCAGAAUGACUUGCUCAAUGAGUUGAAUGACAAUUCCGUUAGAGUCGUCACUACAGGCGGUAGAAUGACCUAGGAACCUUUGUAUCCUGAGGGUCAUCCGAAGAGAAUUGAACAAGAUUCUCAAGGAGUUAGCACUAGCAACCCUGUUGCUGCUACACCUGAGAGUCCAAACAAUGUCUCUGUCUCUGAUGCUGAAACACAAUUUGGUGAUGAACAUGAGCCUAAUGAUAAUAUCAAUAGUGAUGUUCAUGAUGAUGCUCAACCUAGCAAUGAUAAGGAUGUGGAAAUUGAACCUGUUGAUCUUGAUAACCCACAGCCUAAGAAUAAGAAAUACGAUAAGAAUGACUUCGCUGCUAGGAAGCAUGGUAAAGAAAGGGAACCAUGGGUUCAGAAACCCAUGCCCUUUCAUCCCAAACCAUCCAAGAAAAAGGAUGAUGAGGAUUUUGAGCGAUUUGUUGAAAUGAUCAGACUUGUCUUUCUGCAAAUGCGUUUGACAGAUAUGCUCAAAAUGUCUUUGUAUGCGAAGUACAUGAAAGAUAUUGUGACUAAUAAGAGGAGGAUACCUGAGGUUGAGAUUUACACCAUGCUCGCUAAUUAUACCUUCAAGGGUGGAAAUCCCAAGAAACUAGGUGAUCCCGGUGUGCCCACUAUACCUUGCUCCAUUAAAGGCAACUACGUUAGAACUGCUUUAUGCGACCUUGGAGCCGGUGUUAGUGUUAUGCCUCUCUCUCUAUAUCGUAGGCUUGAACUGGAUAAGUUGACACCCACUGAAAUCUCUCUGCAAAUGGCCGACAAAUCAACUGCUUUACCUAUCGGCAUUUGCGAGGAUGAGCCUGUUGUGGUUGCUAAUGUCACUAUCUUAACAAAUUUUGUUAUAUUGGAUAUUCCCGAGGACGAUGCCAUGGCGGUCAUCCUCGGAAGACCCUUUUGAAACACUGCAGGGGCUAUUAUAGAUUGCGACAAAGUCAAUGUCACUUUCCAUGUCAAUGGUAAUGAGCAUACGGUGCACUUUCCGAAGAAACAAUAUCGAGUACAUUGCAUCAAUGCUAUCGAAAAAACUUCAUCGGUUCUUGUUGGGAGCUUUGAAUGCCCUAUUCCUACUGUCAAGAUGAAGUAUGAUUUGCUUGUUGGGGAGAUACACAUCCCCAUUGAGGUGACCUAGUGACUAUUCGAAAAUUCUCCGUUCUCUUUUGCGAUUCAAAAAGGUUGGUCGAGGAGACUUGAUCAACCUCAUUGAUGGAUUUUCUUUCGAUGACCAUGAGAUGGAUGAAUCGAGGAGUCACAAACCGCUGUUCCAAGCUUUCACCUUCGGUUUCUUAGAAGAAAAAUGAUAGGUUUAGUUUAGUUUUCCCUCUUUUCUGUUUUAGCGUCCGGUAGAAAAGUACCCCGAAAAUAAAAGUUCUCCGAACGUCCUGAAAAUCAAGUAUGAUUUUUUCUGGAAUUUUUGAAAAAUACCGAGACAAAGAGCUUGCCUGGGGGUUGCACCAGUGGGCCACAAGCCCUCGAGGCGCCGGCACCCCCCCUAGUCGCGAGUACCUAGCUUGUGGGUCCCACGUGCACCCCUCCACUCAUUCUUGCUCUCAUCUGGUUCUCGUACCUCCAGAAAAAAUCGUUUCGCAGCUCAAACCUUUGUUCUUGCUCCUCUUGCUGGGAUUUUCGAUAUCUUUGCUCAAAGCACCAUUCUCCGAACUGUUUUGGGGAAAUUACUCCUUGGUAAGUGACUCCUCCAUUGGUCCAAUUAGUUUUUGCUCUAGUGCCUUAUACUUCGCGUAUUUUUGCUGCCUUGGUGACCAUGUUCUUGAGCUUUGCAUGCUAAUUUUAGCUGGUCCCAAGUAGUUUUGAUGCAUAAUAUGGCCUCUAGGCACUUGUGGGGGUAGUUGCUACUAGUUUAGUUGAGCCUUGUUCACUUUUCCUUUGGGUCACUGAAAAUUUCAGAAAAGGAAGAUGUUUAGGAGAAACUAUCAUGGUGGUUCCUCAAGCAAGAGAGGUCCCCGUCUUGCGACUCGGGAGCCCGAUCCUUACCAACCAAGGGACGUGCAGGUACAACCAUGUGAAUGGCCUUCUGAUGAAUUUAUGAUUGAGGCAGGUUUCAAAGAUGAGUUUGAUGCACUUGUUCACGACGUCGGACUCGAAGAAUUCAUCUCCGAUAAAUGUGGACAGUAUGUUGCUCUCACUGCCUCUUUUGUUCGUAGAUUCAAAUUCUCAGUUGGCCGUGACACAUCCGUACUAUUUGAUCUCUAUGACAAAUCGUAUACCAUGGAUUUUGAGGAUUUCAAUAGAAUUUGCAAGGUACCUAUUUGGGGUAGUCUCAAUGAUCCUCCUAAAUCUUCGGUUAGAGAUUUUUUCUCUGGUAUAAUUGUUGGAGAAACUAGAGAUAUUACGCAGGCUACCAUGGGGAGCGUUCAUUUUCCUGCCUUGCAUUAUUUUGCCCUCUUCAUAGGAAGAUGCUUUAAUGGCAAGAUUGAGCAUUGUCACCUCUGCGCACCCGACCUUAGUAUCCUUAAGAGCGCAGUAACGGGUGAUAAAAGUUUCAACAUGGGAGCUAUUAUAGCAAGGAGGCUGAAUAAUAAUGCUAAUGAAGGGGGUUUCUUUGGUGGGAUCUAUGCCACUCGCACAGCAAAUUUUCUUGGAGUACCCAUCCAUGAAGGAGAUCCCCCUCUCCAUACGACUUUCCUUGAUCUCGCCGCUUUGACACGCUACCAGUUCAUUGAGAGGCAUGAUCAAUCCCUCCUAUACCGUUUGAUAUUUAACCGGCAGUGUGUUUUCCGUAUUACCCUUCCUGCUCCUGCCUUCUUUCACUUUCAGGUAAAACGGAGAUAUUACAUAACCAGAGGAGAGGCAGAGGAGUAUGAGAGGGAGGCAAAGGUUGCUCGUCAACGUGAGGCAGCUAUUCAGGCAGUGGCUGCAGCGCUCCCGUAUAACCCCCAUUAUGAAGUUGGGUAUUGAUACGAAUCCAUCGUAUCUACUUUUCCAAACUCUUUUGCCCUUGUUUUCGACUCUAAUUUGCAUGAUUUGAAUGGAACUAACCCGGACUGACGCUGUUUUCAGCAGAAUUGCCAUGGUGUUGUUUUCGUGUAGAAAUGAAAGUUCUCGAAACGUCCUGAAAAUUUACGGAGAAUAUUGCUGGAAAAUAUGAAAAAUACCUGCGCAAAGAUCCACCGAAGGGGAUGGGCCAGUGGGCCACAAGCCCUGUAGCGGCCGCCCCCCUGGUGGCCGCUAUCAAGCUUGUGGGGCCCACAUGGCUCUGCCGCCCAUUAACUCAGCUCUAUAAAUUCACUUUCGUCCUAGAAAAAAAAUCAAGAGAGGAGAUUUCAUCGCGUUUGCGAUACGGAGGCGCCGCCACAUCCUGUUCUUCAUCUGGAGGGCAGAUCUGGAGUUUGUUUUGGGCUCCGGAAAGGGAAAUCGUCGCCAUCGUCAUCAUCAACCUUCUUCCCUCUCCAAUUCCAUGAAGCUCUUCAUCAUUCGUGAGUAAUCUAUUCGUAGGCUCGCUGGGCGGUGAUGAGUAGGAUGAGAUCUAUCAUGUAAUCGAGUUAAUUUCGAUGGGGAUUGAUCCCUAGUAUCCACUAUGUUCUGAGAUUGAUGUUCCUACUACUUUGCCAUGCUUAAUGCUUGUCACUAGGGCCCGAGUGCCAUGAUUUCAGAUCUGAAAUUAUUAUGUUGUGACCAAUAUAUGUGUGUUUUAGAUCUGAUCUUGCAAGUUGUAGUUACCUACUAUGUGUUAUGAUCCGGCAACCCUGGAGUGACAAUAACCGGAACCACUCCCGGUGAUGACCAUAGUUUGAGGAGUUCAUGUGUUCACCAAGUGCUAAUGCGUUGUUCUGGUUCUUUAUUAAAAGGAGAACCUUAAUAUCCCAUAGUAUCCUUUUGGACCCCACUGCCACGGGAGGGAUGGACAAUAGAUGUCAUGCAAGUUCUUUUUCCCUAAGCACGUAUGACGACACACGGAAUGCAUGCCUACAUCACAUUGACGAACGGGAGCUAGCCACAUAUCUCUCCGUGUUAUAGCUAUUGCAUGAUGAAUGUCAUCCAGACAAAUCACCGACCCAUUGCCUACGAGUUUGUCCCACUGCUGCUGCUGUUACUUGUUUUGCUCUGCUGCUGUUACUAUUGUUGCUGCUGUUGUUACUUGUUUUGCUCUGCUGCUGUUACUACUGUUGCUUGGUGCUGCUACUUGCUACUGUUGCUACUUGCUACUCCUUUCACUACUGCUGUUCCUUGCCACUUUUGUUACUCGUUACACUGUUGCUACCUGCUAAAAUACCUUUUCUCGCACCGUUGCCCGGAAAGAAUAUUUCCCGUCCACGGGCAACUUCUGGCGCCAUUGAUACAACAGUUAGGAAUAGUCUGCCGUCAACAGAUCGUUUCUGGCACCGUUGCUAUCAAAUACUUUGCUACUCAUACUUUGCUUGCAGAUACUAAUCUUUCAGGUGUGGUUGAAUCUAACGCAUUCAGCUGCUAAUACUUGAGAAUAUCCUUUCACUUCUUGUCGGGCGAACCAAGAAAUUUGGGUUGAAUACUCUACCCUCGAAAAUUGCCGCGAACCCACGCGCUGGUGGGCCAUUGCAAGACAAUUGAUAAUUGUUGAGAAACUGGGAGCAGUUCUGGCUCCGUUGCCGCGGAGGCAUCAAGUCAGGAACACGUCGACAACAUUUUUCUAGUGUCGUUGCCAGGGACUGCUAGUAGCAUUUUUUCUGGCGCAGUUGCCGGGGAAGGGAUUGCUAUAUUCUCUAAGUCACUUGGGAUUCAUAUCUGCUGAUCACUAUGAAGAAUCUGAAAGAUCCAAAAACCAAAGUUUUGCCCUCAACUACGACGGGAGGUAAGGAACUGCCAUCUAGCUCUGCACUUGAUUCACCUUCAGUUAUGUGUAAGUUUGCGACACCACCUCCUGCUAGAAAUCUUGAUAUGUCGCCUAUGCUUGAUGAUGCUUAUGAUGCUACUAUGCCUGAUACUGCUAGAGAUGUUAUGCCUGAUACUACUAGAGAUGCUAUGCUUGAUACUGCUAGAGAUGCUAUGCUUGAUACUCCUUUGCGUGAUGAUGCUAGAGAUGAUAUUUUGCCUGAUGAUGCUAUGCUAGAUACUGCUUUGCCUGAUGAUGCUAGAGAUGCUAUUUGGCCUGAUGAUGUUAUGCUUGAUACUGUUAGAGAUACUACUUUGCCAGAUAUGCCACUAGGGGUAUUCCUUGAUGAUCAUAUUGCUAGAGUUACUGCCAAUGCUCGUGAUGCUUCUAAAACUACCAAUACUAUUGAGAUAGAACCUGCUUUUGCUCCUGCUAGAUCUAGCUCUCCUAGAUAUGAAUUUCCUGAUAUACGCGAGGGUUAUGUUAUGGAGGGAGAGAUAGCUGAGGAUUUUCUUACAUGUAAGGAUGCCUAUGAUGCUGAGAAAUUACUUCUCAAGUGGAAGGAAAAAUCUCUGAAAGCUAGGAUGAAAUACGACCCGAAGUUUGCCACUUCACCUAUCUUUAUCACCGAUAAGGAUUAUGAAUUCUCUGUCGACCCUGAGAUAAUCUCUCUAGUCGAAUCUGAUCCUUUCCACGGUUAUGAGUGUGAGACGGUCGUAGCCCAUCUUACCAAACUACACGAUAUAGCCACCCUUUUCACUAGUGAGGAGAAGAUCUGCUACUACUAUAUCCUUAAGCUAUUUCCUUUCUCUCUAAAGGAUGACGCUAAAUCCUGGUUCACUUCUCUUGCUCCUGGAUGUGUGAGUAGUCCCCAGGAUAUGGUAUAUUACUUCUGUGAGAAAUAUUUCCCUGCCCAUAAGAAGCAAGCUGCCUUGCAGGAAAUAUACAACUUUGCUCAACUCAAAGAAGAGAGUCUCCCACAAGCUUGGGGGAGGCUCAUCCAGCUAUAGAAUGCUUUGCCUGGUCACCCGCUUAAGAAUAAUGAGAUACUUGAUAUCUUCUAUAACGGACUUACCGAUGCUUCUAGAGACCACCUAGAUAGUUGUGCCGGUUGUGUUUUUAGGGAACGAACUAUAGAACAAGCUGAGAUUCUACUGAAUAACAUCUUGAUCAACGAUAAUGCUUGGACUAUUCCCGAACUACCUCCUAAGCCAACUCCUAAGAAAAGAGGUAUUCUAUUCCUCUGUCCCGAAGAUAUGCAAGAAGCCAAGAAAUCUAUGCAAGAGAAAGGCAUUAGAUCUGAAGAUGUCAAAAAUCUAUAACCUAUCGAAGAGAUCCAUGGUCUCGAUAACCCGAUACAAGUCGUAGAAGUGAUUUCUCUGCGUAGGUUUGAUGAGAGUGAUAUUCCUUUUGACAAACCUGCUAGCCUAUGCUUUGAUGAAUUUGACAACUUUGUUGCCAAACAACAAAGUUUCAAUGAUUAUGUUAGCAGACAUUUGGAACAAAGUACUUGUAUGCUUAGUCAUUUAAAUGCUUGUGGAGACCGAAAUGUCAAUGAUCUGAAGCUUCUGAGUAAACAUGCCUCUAUGAUUACUACUCAGGUAGAACAAGUACUUAAAGCUCAGAAUAACCUGCUCAAUGAAUUAAAUGACAACUCUGUCAGAGUCAUUAAUAGAGGAGACAAAAUGACUCAGGAACCUUUGUAUCCUGAAGGCCAUCCUAAGAGAAUUGAUCAAGAUUCUCAAGGAAUUAAUGCUGAUGCACCCAGUCAUCCUAAGAAGAAGAAGGGUGAUAGAAACCUACAUGUCAGUUCACAAAAUACUGUCACACCUGAAGAACCAAAUGAUAUUUCUGCGUCUGAUGCAGAAACACAAUCUGGUGAUGAACAUGAACCUGGUGACAAUAUGGACAACGAUGUUCAUAAUGAGGCUCAACCUAGCAAUGAUAAGGAUGUGGAGAUUGAACCUACGGUUAAUCCUGAUAACCCACAACCUAAGAGAUACGAUAAGCAUGACUUCUCUGCUAGGAAGCAUGGUAAAGAAAGGGAGCCAUGGGUUCAGAGACCCAUGCCCUUUCCUCCUAAGCCAUCCAAGAAAAAGGAUGAUGAGGAUUUUGAGCGCUUCGUUGAGAUGAUAAGACCCGUCUUUGUGCAGGUGCGGUUAAUUGAUAUGCUCAAAAUGUCUCUAUAUGCCAAGUACAUGAAAGAUAUCGUGACUAAUAAAUAGAAGAUACCAGAUCUUGAGAUCUCCAACAUGCUUGCCAAUUACACUUUCAAAGGUGGAACUCCGAAGAAACUUGGUGAUCCCGGAGUGCCCACUAUACCUUGCUCCAUUAAAGGAAACUACGUAAGAAAUGCCUUAUGUGACCUUGGAGCCGGUGUUAGUGUUAUGCCACUCUCUCUUUAUCGUAGACUUGAACUGGAUAAGUUGACACCCACUGAAAUCUCUCUGCAAAUGGCCGACAAAUCAAUUGGUUUCCCUAUCGGCAUUUGCGAGUAUGUGCCUGUUGUGGUUGCUAACACCACUAUCUUAACAGACUUUGUUAUUUGGAUAUUCCUGAGGACGAUGCCAUGGAUGACAUCCUCGGAAGACCCUUUUUAAACACUGUAGGGGCUGUUAUAGAUUGCAACAAAGGCAACGUCACUUUCUGAAUGAGCAUACAGUGCACUUUCCGAAGAAACGGUAUCAAGUACAUUGCAUCAAAGCUAUCGAAAAAACUUCAUCGAUUCUUAUUGGGAGCUUUGAAUGCCCUAUUCCUCGUGUCAAGAUGAAGUAUGAUUUGCUUGUUGGGGAGAUUCAUAUCCCCAUUGAGGUGACUUAGUGGCUAUUCGACAAUUCUCCGUUUCCUUUUGCGAUUCGAAAAAGUUUUGUCAUGAGGAUUUGUCCUCUUGCGAUUCGAAAAGGUUUUGUUAUGAGGAUUUGAUCAACCCCAUUGACGGAUUUCUUUCGAUGACCAUGCAAUGGAUGAAUCAAAGAGUCACAUACCUUUGUUUUAAGCUUUCACUUUCUGUUUCUUCGAAGAAAAAUGAUAGAUUUAGUUUAGUUUUUCCUGCUUUCUGUUUUAGCGUCCUGGAGAAAAAUACCCCGUAUAUAAAACUUCUCCGAUGGUCCUGAAAAUCUAGUAUGAUUUUUUCUGUAUUUUUUGAAAAAUACUGGGACUGAGAGCUGGCCUGGGGGCCACACCAGUGGGCUACAACCCCUGUAGCCGCCGCCUCCCCCCCUGGUGGCGGCUACCAAGCUUGUGGGGCCCACAGGGACACCCUCCACUCAUUCCACCUCCCAUCCUCUUCUUCUACCUCCAGAAAAAAUCGUUUCGCAGCUCAAACCCGUGUUCUUGCUCAUUUGGCUGAUAUUUUCGAUCUCCUUACUCAAAGCACCAUUCUCCGAACCGUUUUGGGAAAAUUACUCCUUGGAAGUGACUCCUCCAUUGGUGACCCUGUUCUUGAGCUUGAAAUGUUGAUUUUUGCUAGUCCCAAGUAGUUUUAGCGCGUGAUACGGUCUCUUGGCACUAGUAGGAGUAAUUGCUACAAGGUGUGGUAGGUCUUCAUUCACUUUUCUCUUGAACUUCAAAAAUUUCAGCAAAAGGAAAUUAUGUUCAGGAGGAAGUUUCAUGGUGGUUCCUUAAGUAAGAAGGGUCCCCGUCUUUCUAUUUGGGUGUCCGAUCCUUAUCAACUAAGGGACGCACCGGUACAACCAUGUGAAUGGCCUUCCGAUGAGUUCAUGAUCGAAGCAGGCUUCAAGGAUGACUUUGAUACACUUGUCCGCAAUGCCGGGUUAGAAGAAUUCCUCUACGAUAAAUGUGAACAGUAUGCUAUGCUCACUGCCUCUUUCGUGCGUAGAUUUAAAUUUUCAGUUGGCCGUGACUCCUCCAUACUGUUUGAUCUGUAUGAUAAAUCGUACACCAUGGAUUUGGAGGAUUUCAAUAGGAUUUGCUAGAUACCGGAUGGGGGUAGUCUUAAUGAUCUUGCUAAGUCUUCGGUUAGAGAUUUUGUCUCUAGUAUAACUGUUGGAGAAACUAGAGACAUCACGCAAGCUACCAUAGGAAGCAUUCUUUUCCCUGCCUUGCACUACUUUGCCCUCUUCAUAGGUAGAUGCAUUAACGUCAAGGUUGCACAUUGUCACGUAUGCGCAUCCGACCUUAGUAUCCUGAAGAGCGCAAUAACAGGUGACAGGAGCUUCAACAUGGCAGCUAUAAUGGUAAGGAGGCUGAAUAAUAAUGCCAUUGAUGGGGAUUUCUUUUGUGGAAUUCAUGCUACGCGCUUAACAAAUUUUCUUGGAGUACCCAUCCGUUCAGGAGACCCCCCUCUCCGUACAGCCUACCUUGAUCGUGUCUCUCUAACACGCUACCAGUUCCUUGAGAGGGAUGAUGAAUCCCUCCUAUACCGUUUGAUAUUUAACCGGCAGCGUGUUUUCCAUAUUACCCUGCCUGCUCCUGCUUUCUUUGACUUUCAGGUAAAAUGGAGAUACUACAUAGCUAUAGGAGAGGCAGAGGAGUAUGAGAGGGAGGCAACGGCUGCUCGUCUUCGUGAGGCGGCUAUUCAGGCAGUGGCUGCAGCACUCCCGUAUAACACCCAGUAUGAUUUUGGGUUUCGCCAGGACCGUCCAUGGGAGUAGACCAAGCUAGGCCAAAAGCCUAAGCUUGGGGGAGUACGUGUUCUCACCGACCUUACAUUCAUGCUUAUGCUUUCACUUUGUUAGUCGGUGUUUACACUUUGCCACUGUAUUAUCCAUGCUAGUUUAUUUUCGUUUUCUUGUUUUCUUGUUUUGUGUCCUUCUGAGAAAACCCAAAAAUAUUUUCCUUUCUUCUUUUGCUUGUUGGGAGUUUUCCCGUGUAAAUAGUUUUCUUUUUCUUUGGGUCAAGGUAGAAGAUAUUGGUUACAAUGUUUAGUGGCUCUUGCAUGAAUACAUGUUUAGCUUUCAAAGAGCCAUAUUACUUUGUCUUCUCCUUUGUGUUUGCGUGCAGAUUCAGCUUAGUUCAAUGCACGAAUACUCUUAUUAUUGUUCACAUCGUUCGAUCGUGCAUGUGAAAGGCAAUAAUGAUGAUAUAUGAUGAAGUGACUGAGACUGGAAAAGCUGGUAUGAACUCUAUCUAUUUUGUUUUUGUAAAUAUGACUAGCUUGUCGUCCCAGAUUCAGCUUUAUUGUGAGAAAACCAUGUUUGCAAUGACAACUUAGAUAACAUAGUUUCUGAUGCCAUGCUUAAUUAGCUGAGAGCUUAUAAUGGUUUGUCUUGAAUGCCAACAUAGAUUUUGAGAUGACUAUGAUGUAGUAUGAUAGGAUGGUAUUCUCCUUUGAAUGAUUCAAGUGGCUUGACUUGGCGCAUGUUCAUGCAUGUAGUUGAAACAAAAUCAACAUAGCCUCUAUGCUGUUCGUGUUCAUGGUGAUUUAUAUCCUGUUCAUGCUUGCACUCAAUGUUAGUCAAACUCAUUGCAUCUUGAUGACUAUUGUCGCUCUCUAGUUGGUCGCUUCCCAGUCUUUUGCUAGCCUUCACUUGUACUAAGUGGAACACUGCUUGUGCAUCCACUUCCAUAAACCCAAUAGUUUUUCCAUGAGAGUCCACCAUACCUAGCUAUUGGCGGUAUCUACCUGCCGUUCCAAGUAAAUUUGCAUGUGCCAUUCUCUAAACCUUCAAGAAAUAAUCUAUUUUGCAUGCCCGAACCGCUCAUGUGGUGACAGGGGGCUAUUGAUAUCUUCCAUGUUAGGCGUGCUAUCCUCGACAUGUGUUUAUUCACUGUCAUUCAUGAGAAAGGGGCUGGUAAUUGGAAUACCCAGUUCCACGCUUAAAUCAAAAACAUAAUUGUAAAACAAGACUCCCCCCGGAUUGAUGUUAGUAUGGACGGUACCCGAGGAUUUGGCUCGUCGUGGAGUGUGAUUGAUUGGUGGUGGGGGAGUUAAAACAUUACUUUUCUAUUUGGGAACCGCAUAUAGCAUGAGUAGCAUGGAAGAUAUUGAGAACUCUUGGUCAUUGCAUUGACACUGGAAGCAUGCCACCCAAAAUUAUUAUCUCUAUUUACAAAGCUUGAGCUCUGGCACCUCUGCAAAUCAAUGCUUCCCUCUGCGAAUGGCCUGUCUAUUUAUUUUCCUGUUGAGUCAUCCUAUUCUUGUAUAAUUACCAAUUAGGGAGCACCUCUAUCAUUUUUAUGCUUUGCUUUUAACUGUGUUGAGUAUGACUAUGACUGGAUCUUCUUUGCCUUAAAUUAUAAUGUUGAGUCAGCCCUUGGUCUUUGAAGGUGCUCUGCAUUUAUGUUUUGCGGUCUUAGAAAGAGCUAGCGAGAUACCAUCUGUUCAUACUGCUUCAUGUUGUUUUGGUUGAAGUGUUGACGUUUGAGAUUUAUUAUUAUUUUCUCGCUAGUUGAUUAUGCCAUUGAUAUGAGUUUACCGUGAGACCUAGAUGUCAUUUGCUUAUGUGGUUUGUUUGGAUCUUGCUGAAAUUUUGGUUAUGAGUUAGACAUAGUUGCAACAACAAGAUCAAACAGUGUUCGUCAAAGUUUUUCUUUUGUCUCUUUCAGUUUGUCAUCCGAAUUUUUUGAGGACAAGCAAGGCUUUAAGCUUGGGGGAGUUGAUACGCCUCCGUCGUAUCUACUUUUCUGAACUCUUUUGCCCUUGUUUUGGACUCUAAUUUGCAUGAUUUGAAUGGAACUAACCCGGACUAACGUUGUUUUCAGCAGAAUUGCUAUGGUGUUGUUUUCGCGCAGAAAUAAAAGUUCUCGGAAUGACCUGAAAAUUUAUGGAGAAUUUUUCUGGAAUUAAUGAAAAAUACCUGCGCAAAGAUCCACCGGGGGAGGUGAGCUAGUGGGCCACAGGCCCAGGAGGCGCGGCCACCCCCUGUGGGUUAGUUUUGACGGGGAUUGAUCCCUAGUAUCCACUAUGUUCUGAGAUUGAUGUUGCUACUACUUUGCUAUGCUUAAUGCUUGUCACUAGGGCCCGAGUGCCAUGAUUUCAGACCUGAACCUAUUAUGUUGUCGCCAAUAUAUGUGUGUGUUAGAUCCUAUCUUGCAAGUUGUAGUCACCUACUCUGUGUUAUGACCCGGCAACCCCGGAGAUGACCAUAGUAUGAGGAGUUCAUGUAUUCACCAAGUGUUAAUGCGUUGGUCCGGUUCUUUAUUAAAAGGAGAACCUUAAUAUCCCGUAGUGUCCAUUAGGACCCCGCUGCCACGGCAGGGAUGGACAAUAGAUGUCAUGCAAGUUCUUUUCCCUAAGCAUGUAUGACUACAUACGGAAUACAUGCCUACAUUAGAUUGACGAACGGGAGCUAGUUACAUAUCUCUCUGUGUUAUAACUAUUGCAUGAUGAAUCACAUCCGGCAUAAUCAUCCAUCACCGAUCCAAUGCCUACGAGUCUUUUACUACUAGUCCUUGCUACGUUACUCUGUCACUACAGCUAUUACUGUUUCUACUCCUUCUAUCAUACUACCUUGCUACUGAUACUUUGUUGCAGCUACUAAAUCUUUCAGGUGUGGUUGAAUUGGCAACUCAACUGCUAAUAUUUCAGAAUAUUCUUUCGCUUCCCCUUGAGUCGAAUCAAUAAAUUUGGGUUGAAUACUCUACCCUCGAAAACUGUUGCGAUCCCCUAUACUUGUGGGUUAUCACCACGCAUGCUCUUUUGAUCGGUCUCUCUCAUCAUCUCUCUCGAUCGGUCUCUCUCGGGAGAUAUAUAGGUGAGUAAAAAAAGUUGUUCAUUUAAAGAAUGGGAAUAUGUGUGUGAAUGAGAAUAUGUGUGGAUGUUUAUGUUUUGCCGAAAUGUCCUCGAGUGUGACAUGCCCUCGAGUUGCUUAUGUUUUGCCGAAAUGUCGAUUUAUUUCCGUUUCGGUGAAUUUCGAGCAAACUCACUAUGUCCUAUUUUUAGGCAAGGUCAUGCCAAAAAUUUAUAUAACUUUGGAGCAUGCAUGCAUUAUUUAUACCCCUUUUAAUUGUUGUACCGUGUAGUCGGUCAUGAAGGUGAGUGGAUGGAAGGUGGAGUGGUACAUGCAAUCCGCGGUGACAGACAUGUAUGCAAAUAACCGGACUAGGAUUAGAUGUCCGUGUGCAACAUGCAAGGAGGGAGUCCUUUUGGACCCUUUUGAUCGUGGCACUUUGAAGGCGCACCUGCUGAUGAAUGGUUUCACGGAUGGCUAUACUGAGUGGAUAAGUGAAGAAGAUGAUGAUGAUGAGGACGUCCAAAUGGCAGGGAAUAACGACAUGGGGCUAGACGAAGAGAUGACCGAUCGACACGAAGACGAUGGUGCCGGACAUGGCAGCGGGGAAGAGUCCGGAAAUGAUGGCGACAGAGAAGAUUCCGGACACGGCGAAGAAUAGUCCGGACAUGGCAGAGAAGAGGUGGUGGUCACGCCGCAGUCUUCGACGCUAGUAACUGCAGUUGUGCAAGACCCUCUUGUUCAAGACCUCCUUCGCAAGAGUACGACUAGCGAGAGAGUUGCUUCUAGAGAGGAGACCAGUAGCGCUGCCCAUACCAGCGCUACUACUAGGGUUUACCUGUAGCGCGAUAGUAGUAGCGCUUAGCCCAGCGCUACUUCUAUGCAUAUUUCAAGCGCUACUACUAGGGCUUUCCCUAGUAGUGUCCAAGCAUUACUUUGUUUUACUUAAUACUCUAGAUGCAUGCUGGAUAGCGGUCGAUGGCUGGAGUAAUAGUAAUAGGUGUAGGCAUGAGUUGGCCUAUUUUCUUAUGGGUGUGAUGCCUCUAUACACAUGACCAUUGUCGUGAAUAUCACAUAACUAUCUGCUUUCCUAUCAAUUGCCCAAUAAUAAUUUGUUUACCCACCGUAUGCUUACUUUCAUGAGAGAUGACACUAGGGAGAACUAUGGCCCCAGGGUCUAUUUACUUAUAAGUUUACAAAAGAUACAAUACAUUUUUGUUCCUCUUUACUUCUUUUUUUGCAAUUCGCAAUUAUCUACUACCAACCACACUAAUUACAAGCUUGCAAAUAAUGAGUCGAGGGGGAUUGUCAACCCUAUUGUCCGUGUUGGGUGCAAGUGUUUGCUCUUUUGUGCGUUGCCGCUGAAGAAGGGGGUGGUUGUUACUCCUAUUGGUUCGAUAAACCUUGGUUCUCUACUAAUGGAAAUACUUACCUAUAUUGUGCUGCAUCACCUGUUCCUCUUCAAAGAAUACCCAACGCAAAUUACAAGUAGGAGGAAGGAUUUCUGGCGCGUUGCAAGGGAAUAUCAUCAACCUACUAUCAAGUAAAUUCACACGAAUUAUCAUUCACUUGUUCUUAUUGUUAUACGUUGUUAUGUUUUGCUUGCUUCAUAAAAUCAAAAAUACAAAAAUAUUUAUAUUUUCUAGUUGCUAGUUUACUUUUUUGCUUGUCAUACUUGCUAUUUUACUUGUCGUGCUUGUUACUUUGCUUGCUCGGUCACCAUGCCUCAAGAGACUACUAAGUUGUGUGACUUAUGGAAUACUAAUGACAAUGAUUUUAUUAGUAAUUCUAUACCACACGCCACUAGUGCGGAGGCUUGUGAUAUAAAGGUGGCAUCGCUGGAUCUUGUCAUGAAAGAACAAUUUUUGGGAAGUCCUAAUUAGGAUCCCGGUGCUCAUCUUAAUACCUUUGUUGAACUUUGUGAUGUGCAAAAUAAAGUCAACAUGGAUAAUUAUAUUAUGAAGUUAAAGUUAUUUCCUUUUUCACUAAGAGAUCACUAGUGCAACGAUGUGCUAUACAAACGGUUUUUAACCCCUUUCUGCGAUGACAUUUUAAACAGUCGCCUAGUGAGUCUGGGCGAUAGGGCGGUCCUUCCCACACGAACCAGAAAUUGUCAGGGAUAGGUCCUCCGGUCACACACACUGCACAAAAUCAGCUCAUGUGCGAUCAAGCUAGCCAUCGUAUACAAUUAUACAGGCUCAAUGGUGUAGCUUCAGCAUUCAUUUACACCAUAUAGGCAUAUAGCUAGCUACCCCAUUACACAUCUGUGCUAGCACCAGGUUUCACAUGCAACAUCUAUAACCUUUUGAAAUUAGCAUCAUGGACGGUAGAUAGACAGAUGAAUCUCAUCUGGAAAACUACUGAAGGAGAAGGAGAAUAUUGAGCCUUCUUUGAUGUUGAAGGUCUUUGAAACUUUAGGCCACUACUUGUGGAUGAUUGACCGUCCAUCCUUCAUCCUCUUCAGGAACACUUCAAGAUUGGUCCAUGGGUGUUGUAUGAAUACCUUCCUUGCCUCCUGACCAUACACAUGGUUUGAGAGGUAAUCAUGAGUGAACUGCUUUGGAAAGGCCUGAAAACAAGGAUAUGCAUAAAUAUCUUCUCUAAAUUUGAAAUGGCGCAAAGUAAUAAAAAAGAAAAGGUAUAAUAGUUAGUACCUUCCUGUAGUGCACUGAUGUCUUCUUAAUUGUGUAGACAACGAUCUUGUCGUUUUUUGGCGCUAGUUUCUUAAUCCUAACAAUCUUUCUGGGUUUCUUGACUUGACUGAUAUUCAUGGACAACUCAUUUCCCCAUACACUACUGAAACUCAGAAAUUUGCCGUCUGCCACGACGGACGGCAAAGGGGGCAACCACGGACGGCAAAGGCUUUGCCGUCGGCCAGGUGACAGCAAACUAGACGGUAAAAAAAUUCCGGUGAAGAGGUUCUUUGCUGUCUGCUUUUGUAAAGCGGACGGCAAAGAAUCUUUGCCAUGAUGUGGUAGACGGGAAAUUAACUGGGACGGCAUAUACUGCAACGGCUCCGUUAAGUGUUAACGGCAGGCGUCCUCUCUUGGCCGUCUGCCCACCCCCCUUUGCCAUGUGGGGGCAGACGGCAAAGAGGGGAGAGAGGGGCAGAUUCCCACGUUUGCCGUGUGCCCACCCCCGUUUGCCAUGUGGGGGAAGACGGCAAAGAGGGGAGAGAGAGGGGGCAGAUUCCCCCCUUUGCCGUCUGCCCACCCCCCUUUGCCAUGUGGGGGCAGACGGCAAAGAGAGGAGAGAGAGGGGGCAGAUUCCCCCCUUUGCCGUCUGCCUAAACCCCUUUGCCAUGUGGGGGCAGACGGCAAAGAGGCGAAUCUGCCCCAUUUUAAUUUAUUUUUUAUUAUGUCCAGCAUUUUUAACAAUAAUCAGGAUAUAUAUAUAUAUAUUUGACAUAAAUAAAUUUCUUUCCAUACUUAUAACCAUAUUAAAAUAACUCUCAUCCAUAGUGCAUACAUAUUAUGCAAGUCGCAUUAGUACCAAACCAUAUAUUACACCAGUUUCAUCAACAUGCAUACAGAGUUUCAUAUAUAUCCAUAUACUACAAUAGUUUCAAUACAAGCCAUGGUACUAGAAAUCAUCUUCAAGCAUUGCAUCUAUAUAAUCCAAUCUUCCCGUGAAGUGAAGGUAAUCUGCAAAAUGAAAAAUAAGAAAGUUAGAAGAAUAAUACUAGAUGAAGAAGUGUAUAUAUAGGUUAUUUCAGAGACAAAUUAGCUAAGUAUAGACCAUUUAGGAGCUAACUAAGCUAAUUAUGUCAUUUAGGUGGAACUCUAGCUAACUAUACGUCAUUUUACAGCUAACUUGGGUAAAAUAGGUCAUUCCGGAGCAAACUAUGCUUAUUAAGCCAUUUUGGAUCUAGCUAGGCUAAUUAUAGGCCAUUUAAUACCUAAGUUAGGGGGAAUAGGUCAUCUUGCAGCUACGUAAGCCUUAUUAUGUCAUUUAGGAGAACUUAGCUAACUGUAGGUCAUUUUUAUUAAAUAGGUCAUUUUGGAGCUAACUAAGCUAAUUAUGUCANNNNNNNNNNNNNNNNNNNNNNNNNNNNNNNNNNNNNNNNNNNNNNNNNNNNNNNNNNNNNNNNNNNNNNNNNNNNNNNNNNNNNNNNNNNNNNNNNNNNAGGAGAGAGAGGGGGCAGAUUCCCCCCUUUGCCGUCUGCCUAAACCCCUUUGCCAUGUGGGGGCAGACGGCAAAGAGGCGAAUCUGCCCCAUUUUAAUUUAUUUUUUAUUAUGUCCAGCAUUUUUAACAAUAAUCAGGAUAUAUAUAUAUAUAUUUGACAUAAAUAAAUUUCUUUCCAUACUUAUAACCAUAUUAAAAUAACUCUCAUCCAUAGUGCAUACAUAUUAUGCAAGUCGCAUUAGUACCAAACCAUAUAUUACACCAGUUUCAUCAACAUGCAUACAGAGUUUCAUAUAUAUCCAUAUACUACAAUAGUUUCAAUACAAGCCAUGGUACUAGAAAUCAUCUUCAAGCAUUGCAUCUAUAUAAUCCAAUCUUCCCGUGAAGUGAAGGUAAUCUGCAAAAUGAAAAAUAAGAAAGUUAGAAGAAUAAUACUAGAUGAAGAAGUGUAUAUAUAGGUUAUUUCAGAGACAAAUUAGCUAAGUAUAGACCAUUUAGGAGCUAACUAAGCUAAUUAUGUCAUUUAGGUGGAACUCUAGCUAACUAUACGUCAUUUUACAGCUAACUUGGGUAAAAUAGGUCAUUCCGGAGCAAACUAUGCUUAUUAAGCCAUUUUGGAUCUAGCUAGGCUAAUUAUAGGCCAUUUAAUACCUAAGUUAGGGGGAAUAGGUCAUCUUGCAGCUACGUAAGCCUUAUUAUGUCAUUUAGGAGAACUUAGCUAACUGUAGGUCAUUUUUAUUAAAUAGGUCAUUUUGGAGCUAACUAAGCUAAUUAUGUCAUUUUGUAGGAUAAUUAGCCAAUUUAGCCUUUCUUGGAUGAGUCUAAGCUACGUAGAAGAAGAGAAAGAGAAGAAGAAGUAAAAUAAGGAGGAGGAGAAGGAGAAGGAAGAGGAGAAGAAGAAGAAAAGAAGAAGGAGAAGGAGAAGGAGGAAGAAGAGAAGUAAAAGAAGGAGGAGGAAGAGGAGAAGGAGAAGGAAGAGGAGAAGUAGAAGAAAAGAAGAAGGAGAAGGAAGAAGAAGGAGGAAGAAGAAGGAGAAGGUUUCUUCUUCUUCUCCUCCUUCUUCUCCUUCUUCUUAUCCGCCUCCUUCUCCUCAUUCUUCUUCUCUUCUUCGUCUUCUUCCUUCCUUACAUUUUUCCUCUUUCUUCUCCUCUUGUACCCUUCUUUGGGCUAAAUUGGCUAAGAAUGACUUUUUGGAGCUAAUUAUGUCAUUUCGAGGAUAAUUAGCUAAGUAUAGGUCAUGUUUUAUUAAAUAGACCAUUUAGGAGCUACCUAAGCUAAUUACGUCAUCUAGGUGGAACCCUAGCUAACUAUUGGUCGUUUCGGAGCUAACUUGGGUAAAAUAAGUCAAUCCGGAGCAAACUAUGCUUAUUAAGCCAUUUUGGAUCUAGCUAGGCUAAUUAUAGUCCAUUUAAUACCUAAGUUAGGGGGAAUAGAUCAUCUUGCAGCUCUGUCAGCCUUAUUAUGUCAUUUAGGAGAGAACUUAGCUAAUUGUAGGUCAUUUUUUAUUAAAUAGGUCAUUUUGGAGCUAACUAAGCUNNNNNNNNNNNNNNNNNNNNNNNNNNNNNNNNNNNNNNNNNNNNNNNNNNNNNNNNNNNNNNNNNNNNNNNNNNNNNNNNNNNNNNNNNNNNNNNNNNNNGAGCUCCUUCUCCUUCUUCUCCUCCUUCUUCUCCUUCUUCCUAUCCUCCUCCCUCUCCUUCUUCUUCUUCUUCCUUCCUUUCAUUUUUCCUCUUUCUUCUCCUCUUGUUCCCUUCUUCAGGCUAAAUUGGCUUAGAAUGCCUUUUUGGAGCUGAUUAUGUCAUUUCGAGGAUAAUUUAGCCUUUCUUGGAGGUAACUAAGCUAAUUAUGUCAUUUAGAUGGAAGUCUAGCUAUUUUUAUUAAAAUACUAGAAAUAACAUACCAUUAUCGUCAUCACAACGGUGAAGCAUGGUGGCUCUGGCUUGUUUCACCUGGAGAAGGCUGCCGUGGAGAAGGCUCGACUUUAGAAGGGUCGUGCAAUGCCUUUCAGGAGAUAUUCUGCACCAAACAUCGUUUGCAAUGUGUAGUUAGCAUGAGGACACUCUUAAGAUCACUGCACUGAAAUGAAACUCACCGUCCCCGCCACGUUAUUGACUGGCAUCGGCGGAGGGACUUGGCCGUUCUUCUCGCACAUAGACUGUACAUUUGGUUUAGACAAGUCAAACUUUUUAUUUCUUAAUGAAACGGACAUUCAAAUGCAAGAUUUGAGAUAAGAUGAAGAAGAAGCUUACCACGAAGAGCUCUUAUAUGGCCCUGUUAGACGCAUCAUUCCGUGCCCUCUCCGCCUCCACCAAUGCAGUCGUCCUCUCCUCCAGCUCCCUAAUUUCCUUAUCCUUCUCCGCCAUAGCCGCCUGCAUUGCCUCUCUCUCUUUCUGAAUAGCAGCAUGCAACACAACUCAUUGUUAGCAAUGUAAUCAUAUUGGUUCCAACGCACAACAUAAUGCGGAAAGAUAGUUGAGUCCAUUAAACUAACCUCGAUGGCGAGCUCGACUGGCCGUGGACGACGUGUUAUCUCCGAACAAGAGCUCGUUGGGCGUGCCUUUAUCUGUCGGAGAGUGCUAGGACAACGUAUAAGGCCAUCUCCAAUGGCGAUCGAGCCAUGGGGCCUCCCGUUGCCAGCUAUCAUCACCAGCUCUGGAUCAAUAGGCCCCUCGCUCGGGUUAAAGUCCUCCCCUUUCCUCGCCUUCCCGUGAUCUAUGUGCUUCACGAGCUUGUGGUGGGAGGAGAUGUUGGUGAAGUUUUCUGGAUGCUCGAGGUCAGACUCAGAGAAUGCCUUGACCUUCUUGUACGAGGCAGUAUGGGCCAUCGCAUACAGGUCGUACAUCUGUGGCGCCUCUGUCUUAUUGUGACGAGCCUAAAAGAGAGAGAGAGGAAAAUUGUAUUAGUAAAGGGCUCAAGAUAGCAUUAAGAAUGAAUUGCAUGAGGCAUGAAGCAAACCACAUACCCAGUUCUCGCCAAAUUGGAUUAAGUUCACGCUCCCUUGAUGGUGUGGCACGCCAACCAUUUUGCCACGCCUCUCCUUGGCAUUGUUGUGGCUCGCCUCCCACGUUUCGGAGCACCACUGAUCCACCAAGGCCUCCCAACAAUCCAUCUUAUCCACACACCAUCUCGGGGGCACCUAAGUUAAUAAAGAGAAAUUUGAGCGUGUAAGAACCAAAUCAAGGAAACUAACUACAAAGCCUUAAUAAUAUGUAAUUACCUUCAUGUAAUGCUCCUUCUCCAUCUUAGCAUCACGGCACUUCGCCUUGUCAAGCCUAAUACGCCGCGUGGCAUAGUAGUCUCGAACAGCCUGCACCCGAGCCUCGUGCCGAAAGUUUUGAAGUAGGCGGCGACAUUCGGUUUCGAUAACCUUUGCCGCGUCCUCCUCGUAUCCCUCCUCACACCUGUAGUAGGUCUGCAAACGAUACAAUACCGAUUAGUACAAUAAAUAGCUAUGGUUGAUUUAUAAUUGUGUGAAGGAGAAAUUACCCAGAACUUUCGGAUCACCAUGUCCGCCCUCGUGUCGCACAAAACACCAUCGAUGUCCACCUCCGGCGGGGCCGGGGCACCCAAGUAGUGCUCCCAGGUCAUUCCUACCUCUCGCUCCCGACCGGGCAACGUAACAACCCGUGGGAAGUUUUUACGGCAAAGAACACCAAGGACGCUGUUGGGCUUGCGGACACCCUUGGCAACAAUCCAACCCCUACAGUAUGAAAAAUUAAAGCCAAAACAUUAGAUAUUUGAGAAAAUGCGAAGGCAAAAGGUUAAAUAAGAUUAAAUUAACUUACUUGUCCCCAUUUGGCCUAAUCGACCACCUCUGCUCGGGGGUCGCUGGCACAAGCGGGAGCCCCGAACUACCACGCUGGUAGACGGUAGCCCCCUCACCAAGCUCCUCGUCGCUACCAGCAUCCCACUGGGUCUCUUGGGACAUACCCUCAUCCCUGCUUUGUUCCGGAGUCGCCUGGAAGGAAGCCUCUGGGACACGAGUCUCGUGGGUCGAAGGCUAGUCGACCCGAGGCUCGUGAACCGGAGACCAUGUAGCCUCCACCUCAGACGAAUCCACCCUAGAAGUCUUGUGCUCAGGUGAAUCAGCUUGAGGUGGUGGCGGAGACCAUGUAGCCGCCACCUCAGAAGGCGUGGCAGCCACCGCCCUACCUCUCCCACGGCCAUGUGUACCUUUAGUACAACAUAAAUACCAACAUGAGUAAUAAAAUGUAUAUAAAUAGCAAUAUGCAUACAACAUGAGUACAACAUAAUACCAACAUGAAUACAACGUGUACCUUUAGUGCCUCUCGGCUUCACGGGGGGGCUCUCCAUGCAUACUAGAGAGCAACACUCUCCGAAGAGGCGAGGCACGAAUGGAAGUACCCAUCCCAUCACCCGCCGACGAAGAAGGAGCCGCGGAGUGCUUUCGACCCUUUCCCACCAUCUUUCAACACUUGUCAUGACAAAGAGUAAAUGAAAUUAGUACAACAUAAAUACCAACAGGACUAAUAAAAUGUAUAUAAUUUAAGUGUAUCAUCGUCAUAAAUACCAACAUGACUAAUAAAAAUUGAAUACCUAACAUGAACUCAAAAUUUAUAUAUAGUAUAAUAGUUGAAUACCUGACAUGAACUAAUAACAAUCGUGCUCGUCCAUAUAUGCUUCGGGGUCAAUAAAUGCAUCAUGAUCAUCACUAUCAUCAAUAAAUGCAUCAUCAUCAUCACUAUCACGAAGAACAUGUGGAAGGCCACCAUUAUGUAAUCGGUCAAAAAGUGACACGUCAUCCGCAGUAGUAACCUCUUCUUCUUCCAGCUCUUCAUGUUCGGGCUCAGGGGUUAAGACGGAUUCACUGUCGCUGUCUACUUCAAUGUUCUGGGGUGAAGUAGAGCGGUUCUUGAAACAUUUCUUGGACAUACAUGUUUCUUGGAAGAAUUCUCCUUCAUAUGUGUCUGGGUUAAUGUGAGGUUCGUAAUCCUCUUCAUUGAGGGUAGGUGGUCUAAAAUGUGGUGGCACUUCAUAAACGACAUCCCAACCUUUGAGAUUUGGAUCAGUUUGGCCGACCCACGGUAGAUAGAAAACUUGUGUCGCCUGUUGAGCCGUAAUAUAGACAUCGGGAACAUCUAAGUGGGUGUUUUGGUUGAUUUCGACUAGUCCUAUAUGUUCAUGAGUCCUUCUAGUCUCCCUCGGCUCAAACCAAUAACAUUUGAAGACUACGACGGUCGGUGGGUUUUCACCAUAGAAUAGAAGUUCAUAAAUUGCUGGUCACGCAUACUCAUGAUUGACGAAACCUAUAGCUAGCAAGUUUCAUCGGCACGAAGAUCGGAACAUAGCAAAUUAAGGGAUAGGAGGAGAAGUCAUUUGUGCUCACCAAUAAACGCAGGGGCGGAGCUCGUCCAACGCACGUGGAGGUCGUCGAACAACUGCACAUUGAAAUUCACACGAUCAACACAAAUAUGAUGUUUUUAUAAUUAACAUAAUCGGAAAAUAUGUGGCCUAACUCAUAAUUUACAAGGUCGGUGGUGUCGGGUGCUGGUGGCGUCGGGGGUCGGGGGUUAGUUGCGUCGGUGGUCGGGGUUCAAUGUCGUCGGGGGUCGAGGGUCACUGGCAUCAGGGGUUGGGGUCUUUUCGGUCAACAAGAGGCCGAACAGGUGCUGGGGGUCGGGUGUCGAGGGUCAGUGGCAUCGGGCCUCGAGGGUCGAGGGUCUGGGGUCGAUGGUCGGGGGUCGAGUGUCGGGGGUCGAUCGUCAGUGGCGUCGGGGGUCGAGGGUCGGGGGUCGAUGGUCAGUGGCGUCGGGGGUCGAGGGACGAGGGUGAGUGGCGUCGGGCGUCACGGGUCGGGGGUCGAGGGUGAGUGUCGGGGUGCCGGGGUUCCUUUUUCCUCUUCUUUCUUCUUCUCCUCUCUCUUCUUUUUCUUCUUCUUCUUCUUAUUAUUAUUAUUAUUAUUAUUAUUCUUUUUUCUCCUCCUCCUCCUCCUCCUCUUUUCUAUUUCUUCUUUCUUUUCUCUUUCUCCUCCUCUCCUCUUUCUUCUUUUUCUUCUUCUUCUUGUUCUUCUUUUUUCUUCUAAGUUUUUUGUUUUCUAUCUAUUUUUUCUAUUAUUUCUUUUCUAUCUACUUUAUUCUACCUAAUAAACUAACUAUAUAAUUUAACAGCAAAAAAGAAAAAUCUAACUAUCUAAUUUAACAAGAAAAAAACUAACUUUCUUCUAUUAUUUUUUUCUAAGUUUUUUAUUUUCUAUCUAUUUUUUCUAUCUACUUCAUUCUACCUAAUAAACUAACUAUAUAAUUUAACAGAAAAAAAAGAAAAAAAUACGAACCGGCGACGCAUGGGGCGGGGCGGCGCAGGGAGGAGGGGCGGCGCACGGAGGAGGGGCGGGUGGCGCAGGGUGGUGGCGGAGCAUGGAGGGGCGGCGCAAGGUGGUGGCGGAGCCGGGUGGGGGAGGCGCCGGGUGGNNNNNNNNNNNNNNNNNNNNNNNNNNNNNNNNNNNNNNNNNNNNNNNNNNNNNNNNNNNNNNNNNNNNNNNNNNNNNNNNNNNNNNNNNNNNNNNNNNNNAAGCAGGUCCACCCCCCUCCGUCGCCGCCACCCCGGACCUGCCCAAGCAGGUCCGCCCCACCGCCUAGAACAGGAAGGGACGGCCCUAGCACCACCACGCCUCCACCGCGGACAAGGUCCACGGUCUGGCUUAAAUGUUGUGCUAGUCUGAUUUACUCUUCUUCUAAGUUUGUUGUCGUCGUACUACAUCGUCCUAAAUUCACCAUGGGUUAACAGAGUCUGCCAGCCAAUUUUCGUUCGUUCGUUCGUUGNNNNNNNNNNCUAAGUUUGUUGUCGUCGUACUGCAUCUGUUCUGCACCCUGUCCUAGAUUCAGCAUGGGUUAACAGAGUCUGCCAGCCAAUUUUCGUUCGUUCGUUCGUUGGAUCGUCCAAGUCAAUAUGGGGUUAAAUAUGUCAGAAGUUGGGAUUCGUUAUUGUGUCUAGUAAUCCACCUAUAAUUUUUGCCUUUCUUGUUUAGAAGUUUUCGGUUUGGGGUUCGUCCGUGAUAUGCAACUAGGAGUGCUGCUACUUGGUGUGCUUAGAUGUAUAUACAUCAUCAUCUUCUAUAUCCUUUCUGGACAUAAUGGAUAUUAUAUUAUCCUGCUGGGGAGUUCUUUAGUUAAUUAACUGCAUUUCCUCUGAAGUUG